UCUUAAUUCGCGAUUUUAUGUGGUAAUGCCUAGUCCUCCAAUAAUCCUCCUUACUUCCAUUUUGUCCUCCAUCUAAACUAUAGCCAUAUUUAUUCUAAAGUGCCAAAAGUCUAAAUAAGCACUUAGAAUGCCCCAAACAGCCCUGCUACUGGUCAUCCAUCUAUUUAUUUGGAAGAAAAGGAAAUUAACAUGUUGAAUCUGAAUCCUG
rnacentral:misc_RNA from 1 species